GGCAUCGAGGAGCGCUGCACCACGCCAGAUGACAGGGUGGGAGGCUCGAUGCCGGGGUUUCAACGAACAACGGCGCUCAACCGCA
rnacentral:ncRNA from 1 species